AAGCCCGGUGAUUGCUGGAAUGCUGAAAGCUUAGGGCAUAGAAGAGCGAGCUCUAUUAAUCCCUGAUUUCUUUUUUCUUUUCUGUUGGGGGAUAAAAGGGCUCUCUCAUUUUUAAUUUUCUUAUUUUUUCCCCCAUCUUCAGACAAGAACCCUAAAAGCGAAAGCUCUUCCAUCGACUCUCAAUUGCUCCUCUCUCUCUCUCUUCAUUGCAGAGCGAGAGAAAGACUCAGGUGACUUGAAUUUAUGAUAACAUUUUGUGAGAAAUUCGAUUUCUUACUUUCAGGUCAAAUCCGAGGGAGAUGGUGGGGGUUUGCAGGACUUGCAGUGAAACGGAGGAGUAAAGACAUGCUCCGAGAGCUAUGAGCUUCAGUAAGGACGGUCCGUACAGUUUCGAAACUGCGUACAGAGGAGUUCGGGCUUCGGAUUUCGAAGAUUGAAAUUGUGGCAAGAAGUAGGAGGAAACAGCAGCGCAUGAAAUUUGCGCUUUCGCUUGUGAAAUCGGGAACCAGCUUCGCUGAGGUGGUCUUUUACUCUUUCUUGUUGUUCGAAGUCGUUUAAUCGAAUCCAAGGGAACCGCAGAUACUGAAGUUUUCUUUGGUUGCUCAAGAGCACAUCCAGUAAGUAAAGAACGUAGAUCCGUGAGUUCGGAAAGGUUGUUACAUCGAUCAUCGCAGUGAUUUACCGUCUAAUUGCAAAAAAUAGUGAAUAUUUACGUUACGGAACUUAAUUUCAUCGCAUUUUCACCAUCUUGAAGCUCAGAUCGGCGUCAGAAUUGCAGGAACGCAAGGAAGUAUGAGGACACAACAGAAAGGCUCAGAUAGAGUUUUUAUCACUGAAAGAGAGUGACGCGUGUGCAAUUACGUCUCGGCUGUUUUUCUCUUUGCUGUCAUUUUUCUUCUUGUACCCCGAAGAAAGCUUAAAUGUGAAGCAGAAGGAACUCAGAUCGGUUGUUGCAACUUGCAACCUCAGGAAAUUAAGGCGUCUGAACCGGUUUCUGCAGAAUAGCAAAGGCAAGAGCUCAGCCCUCACAGCUCAUCUGUUCAGAGGCUUGCUUUUGAAAGGUCGCUAAAAGCUAAGCGGAGCUGCUGACAUAUUUCGUCCCUCGAACGCGAUUUAUCGAAGGCCUUAAUGGAACCUUAUCUCACAAGUUCACAACCCAUCCCCAAGUACUAAAUGCUGAAGGACAUUGCCAUCUGCAUUCAGAAACCCUAAUUCAUUGUGUGUGUGUGUGUGAGAGAGAGAGAGAGAGACUUUUCUCUCCUUUUUUGGGUUCCGGAAGAGGGUGACAGAAGAGAUAAAAAGAGAAGCAACUAAAGAUCUUGUUCUAGUAUUCUCAGGAAAGGUAUGAAAGCGGUAUGGAGGUGGACGAUAUUCACCGGCAGCCUUGCAAGCUUUCGAGGUUCGAUAAUGGUAGAAGAGAUUCCAACAAGAUAGGACAAAAGUCAGGAGACCAUUUCCAAGAGGAUGAUGAAGACGACGGUGAAGUUAGAGGUGGCGGAGUAGAAGGAAGAGGAGUCAUAGGUGGUGGUGGUGGAAUUGAAAGUGCUCAUCUGAGUUCAUGGACUGGGUCUCGAAUUUUCAGGGUUUCUCGGGCAUCUGGUGGGAAAGAUCGCCACAGUAAGGUUCUAACGGCGAAGGGGCUCAGAGACCGAAGGGUUCGUCUCUCGGUCUCCACUGCCAUACAGUUCUACGAUCUCCAGGAUCGUCUGGGCUAUGAUCAACCAAGCAAAGCAGUGGAAUGGCUAAUUAAAGCCGCUGCGGACGCCAUCGCUGAGCUUCCUUCUCUUAACAGUGCUUUUCCGGAGACCCCCAGGCCAAGCGAUGAAAGGAGGUCUAGUGACUCACAGCCAAGGUUUGAUCUGGCCGAGCACGAAUUAGAAACUGAGCCAUCUUAUCAUCAGCAACAGAAGCACCAGCAGCAGCACAUGUCCUUGACGAAAUCUGCAGGGAGCAGCAAUUCUGAGACAAGCAAGGGUUCGGGUUUCUCCCUCUCCAGGUCUGAAAGCCGUGUUAAAGCCAGAGAGCGUGCCAGAGAAAGAACAGCUAAAGAGAAGGAGAAGGAUAGGGAGGAUGCUCAUGGUGUACAUCAGCACAAUCUGAACCCUAAUUCUCAGAACGGGUCUUUUACUGAGCUACUCACGAGUGGUGGAGGUGCUGGGGCUAAUGAGAAUGGCAACAGCCCCUCUGAACCAGCCCACCCAAGUGGAUCAAAUUUUUCCCUGAAGACCACCCGGCCUUUACCUUCAACCCCGAUGGAUUACUUCGGUGCUGGGAUUCUCGGCUCGGGACAGUCAAGAAACAGUCAUUCUUCUGGGUUUUCAGCUUCAAAUCACUUCGGGAAUCCUCCUCAGCCGCACUCUAUGACGAUGCAAUCACCUUUCGCUGUCACUGGCGAUCAUCAUCAGGAGCUGCAGCAGUUUUCAUUCAUGCCUGAUCACCUUAUACCCGUUCCAACAGCGGCAGGAAGCGACUAUAACUUGAAUUUCAGCAUCUCUUCUGGCCUUGGUGGUUUCCAUAGGGGGACCCUUCAGUCCAAUUCACCGUCUCCGUUGCCUCACCUUCAGAGGUUCUCUUCUCCCGUUGAUGGACCAAGCGUACCCUUCUUCAUUGGGACUGCAGCUUCGGCUGCUGCUGCAACAGUGGAGAAUCAUCAGUUUCCAUCUGGGUACGAUGGGCGUCUGCAACUCUACCAUGGUGAUGGGUGCAGGCAAUCAGACCUGAAGGGAAAAGGAAAGAACUGAAAUCCUGGAAAAGCAGAUGACUCACGACCCCGUCUCGGUUGCAGAUUGAACUAUGAUAAGGAACAUUCUAGAGCAAAAAGAAGGAGCUCCUAAUCAUAAAAGGACGGGAAUCUUUUUCUUCACCCACAAAAUUACCCUCAUUAUUAUUCAUCCUAUUUAUUGAAGGUAAAGUGUAUGAAGUGCGGUGCCGGGCCGUGGUGGUUGGAUGGAUGGAAAGCCCUUUCCUGCCUCAGUCAAAACAAAGACAAAAUUAGUAUAUGGCUGCUGAAUUUUUAGUUUAUUCAGCUGCAUUCACAUAAAUACUCGUGAUUUUAAUGCAUAUGCAUUGACACAUUUUGUUUUGAUGAGGUACAACACGUCACUGCAAUUCGUUUUUCUUUUUCAAAAUUUUCCCCUUUGUUUUGUAAUAUUUUCUUUGGGAUUUUAAUUUUCAUUCCAUUGAACUUUCAUAUGCACCGUGUUCUCCCAGUAAAGAAUCCUGGUAUUUGCCUUUCA